GACGAACGCUGGCGGCGUGCUUAACACAUGCAAGUCGAACGGAAAGGCCCCUCUCGGGGGGUACUCGAGUGGCGAACGGGUGAGUAACACGUGAGUAACCUGCCCUUGACUUUGGGAUAACUUCUGGAAACUGGGGCUAAUACCGGAUAUGUGCUCUUGCUGCAUGGUGGGGGUUGGAAAGUUUCGGCGGUUGGGGAUGGGCUCGCGGCUUAUCCGCUUGUUUGUGGGGUAGUGGCUUACCCAGGCCUUGGCGGGUAGCCGGCCUGGGGGGGUGACCGGGCACAUUUGGACUGGGGUACGGGCCAGACUCCUACGGGGGGCAGCAGUGGGGGAUAAUGCACAAUGGGGGGGAGCCUGAUGCAGCAACGCCGGGUGCGGGAUGACGGGCUUCGGGUUGUAAACCGCUUUCGCUCAUGACGAAGCUUUGUGUGACGGUAGUGGGUAAAGAAGCACCGGCUAACUACGUG
rnacentral:rRNA from 1 species